AAUCAGGAUUGAAAAAUAACCAAAAAUCCCUCUGGGAAAAAAAUCACCGGCUUCAUCUUCACGUGUAUGCCAGGGGCCAUGGGACAUCUGACGGGAUCAGCUGCAACAUCAUCCUCUGUGCAUCCUCAUCAUCCCUGCAACAUUAUCCCUGCAACUUCAUCAUAGCUACAUCUUCAUCAUCCCUGCAUCCUCAUCAUCCCUGCAACAUUAUCCCUGCAACUUCAUCAUAGCUACAUCUUCAUCAUCCCUGCAACUUCAUCUCUGCAAUUUCAUCAUAGCUGCAACAUCAUCAUCCCUGCAUCCUCAUCAUCCCUGCAACUUCAUCAUAGCUACAUCUUCAUCAUCCCUGCAUCCUCAUCAUCCCUGCAACAUUAUCCCUGCAACUUCAUCUCUGCAAUUUCAUCAUAGCUGCAACAUCAUCAUCCCUGCAUCCUCAUCAUCCCUGCAACUUCAUCAUAGCUACAUCUUCAUCAUCCCUGCAUCAUCAUCAUCCCUGCAACAUUAUCCUUGCAACUUCAUCAUAGCUACAUCUUCAUCAUCCCUGCAACUUCACCUCUGCAAUUUCAUCAUAGCUGCAACAUCAUCAUCCCUGCAUCCUCAUCAUCCCUGCAACUCCAUCAUAGCUACAUCUUCAUCAUCCCUGCAUCCUCAUCAUCCCUGUAAAUGCAUGUACAUCAACCCUGCAAUCCCUGCAUCCUCAUUAUCUCUGCAACUUCAUCCCUGUAACUUCAUCUGCAAUUUCAUCACAGCUGCAACAUCAUUCUCCCUGCAGCCUUAUCAUCCCUGCAGCCUUAUCACCCCUGCAACAUCAUCAGCCCUGCAACAUCAGCCCUGCAACAUCAGCCCUGCAACAUCCUUAUCCCUGCAUCCCCAUUGUCCCUGCAACACCUUCCCUGCAUCCUCAUCAUCCCUGCAUCCUCAUUAUCCCUGCAACUUCAUUCCCACAUCCUCAUUAUUGCUGCAACUUCAUCUCUGCAACAUCUCCAUCCCUACAUCCUGAUGCCUGCAGCAUCCAAAGGAAGGGUUUCUCCUUCCUCAGUGCAUGGAUCCCACCUGGCAAUCUCCA
rnacentral:lncRNA from 1 species